rnacentral:rRNA from 1 species
GACGAGGGUCCUAGCGUUGUUCGGAAUCAUUGGGCGUAAAGCGUGUGUAGGUGGCCUUGUAAGUCAGCUGUGAAAUCCCUGGGCUCAACCCAGGAACUGCGUCCGAUACUGGGAGCUUAAAUCCGGGAGAGGGAUGUGGAAUUCCAGGUGUAGCGGUGAAAUGCGUAGAGUAUAUGGAGGAACACCGGUGGCGAAGGCGGCAUCCUGGACCGGUAUUGACGCCGAUGCG